ACGGGAGGCAGCAGUGGGGAAUCUUGGGCAAUGGGGGAAACCCUGACCCAGCGACGCCGUGUGGGGGAUGAAGGCCUUCGGGUUGUAAACCCCUGUUGGGUGGGACGAAUGCCUCUCUGUAAAUAACAGAGAGGUUUGACGGUACCACCAGAGAAAGCCCCGGCUAACUCCGUGCCAGCAGCCGCGGUAAUACGGAGGGGGCGAGUGUUGUUCGGAAUUAUUGGGCGUAAAGGGCGCGCAGGCGGCUUGGCAAGUCGAGUGUGAAAUCCCUUGGCUUAACUGAGGAAUGGCGCUCGAAACUACCUCGCUAGAGGGCGGGAGAGGGAAGUGGAACUCUCGGUGUAGGGGUGAAAUCUGUAGAUAUCGAGAGGAACACCGGUGGCGAAGGCGGCUUCCUGGCCCGCAUCUGACGCUGAGGCGCGAAAGCGUGGGGAGCAAACAGGAUUAGAUACCCUGGUA
rnacentral:rRNA from 1 species